UCCCUGCCUCGUCCAUGUGUGUCG
rnacentral:misc_RNA from 1 species